GUGCCAGCAGCCGCGGUAAUACGUAGGGUGCGAGCGUUGUCCGGAAUUAUUGGGCGUAAAGGGCUCGUAGGCGGUUUGUCGCGUCGGGAGUGAAAACGCCGUGCUUAACACGGCGCUUGCCUUUCGAUACGGGCAGACUAGAGGUAUUCAGGGGAGAACGGAAUUCCUGGUGUAGCGGUGAAAUGCGCAGAUAUCAGGAGGAACACCGGUGGCGAAGGCGGUUCUCUGGGAAUGACCUGACGCUGAGGAGCGAAAGUGUGGGGGAGCGAACAGGAUUAGAUACCCUGGUAGUCC
rnacentral:rRNA from 1 species